rnacentral:misc_RNA from 1 species
GCCACGCCCGAAGUCGUUACCCCAACCGAAAGGGGGGGGAUGCCUAAGGUAGGACUGAUGACUGGGGUGAAGUCGUAACAAGGUAGCCGUACCGGAAGGUGUGGCUGGAUCACCUCCUUUUAGGGAGACCUAAUCCAUUUAGAAAUCGAAAACAAUGAAAAUUGUCAAUAGAAACUAAAGUGGUCUAACCUAGGUCGUUCGAGAUUGGUAGAUAUCUUUCAAAGUAUUAUUCGGCUUUGUUCAAAACCAUAUAUAAUAAAUGGAAAAAAGACAGCACCUAAUUGUCAAAGUUAGACUGCUGGAUGAAAUUCCAGCCAGAACCUUGAAAACUGCAUAAGAGAACGAGAAAAAGCAGGCAGACACAGACAUUUAGAUGGAUGUGAAAGCAAAGAAAAAUUGUGGUCAAGCUAAUAAGGGCUAAUGGUGGAUACCUAGGCACACAGAGG